AUUUACUUGAAUCAAAAAGAAUUUCUAAGUAGAACAAAACACCCCGUGGAAGCAAUCUAUUUAUUUACAUACAUUUAACAUGUAGAUGCUUCUUCAAACAGAGUUCCUCCAGAUAGAAACACAAUGCCUUUCUCGGCUCAGUGGGAGCACUCAUUGUUACCCUAAUCUAUGCCAUCAAACAAGCAGAUAGGAGAUUUUCUUUUUCUUUUUCUUUUUUUUUUUUAAGAGGAAGAUAUCUUGUGGUAAUGGUUUUAGCUGUUAACAUUGACAUCUGUAUACUUCAAAAAAAAAAAAAAGGAUCCAGACCCACCCAGGAUCAUACAUUCCCUGAGAGCUGAUACAUUAAAAUAACAAAAGGCCCUUGUAAUGAUUCUCUGAGAUAAAAAGGCAAAAGGAAUUCAAGAGUUAAGAAUAGUAUAAAUAGAAGUGGCUGAAGUCCCUGCCUUUUACCCUUCUGGAGGAGAACACGAAUCUUUGGGAACUAGUUCAGGAAGGGAUUCUGCAUCUUCAGAGCUGCUUCUCUUCCUCUUCCCUGUUCUGACUUCAGGAUCUGGACUUACCUCAAUUGCUUUUGCUGCUUGUUCUUUUGUUUCAAAUUCCACAAACGCAAAUCCCUUUGGAUCUCCAGUAGACUUAUAAUGUGGUAUACUUAUAUAAACAACAUUGCCACAUUUCCCAAAUACUCUUUCAAUCCAGCUGUGAUUAACAUUUUUGGGAAGUAACUCCUAUUAUAAAUUAAAAGCAAUAUUAGAGUUUUUCACAAUCAGAAUGUCAAUAAAUUUUUAACUUAAUUAUAUUGUUUCUGUGCCAGUUUCUGACUGGGGACCCGGGUUCUUAAGCUUACCACAUACACUGUGCGUUCAUCCUCAUCCUUUGGUCUUUCCCCCAGAGGUUUUUUCCUCCGGAUUCUGGUGCCUUCCAAAUCAAGCUUUAAAAUAGUAUAUUACAUUAAUAAAACUAAUAUUAUUUAUAAUUGUAAGCUAUAAUCAUAUAAUAAUCAUUACGUUAACAUUCUUUAUAAUUAUAAACUAUAAAUAUAAACAGUAGUUAUUCUUGAUUCUUACCUCUACAACAGCUGAACUUCUCAAUGCUCUGGCAAUUAACUUCCCAUCAGUAGUCAAUUUUUUCAUUUUGUUAAAAGACACAAGUAGUGAUAUAUCAACAUCUAAAGAAAAUGAAAAAGUUAAUAUGUUAGU
rnacentral:lncRNA from 10 species